UACGUAGGGGGCUAGCGUUGUCCGGAAUCAUUGGGCGUAAAGCGCGUGUAGGCGGUCCGGUAAGUCCGCUGUGAAAGUCGGGGGCUCAACCCUCGGAUGCCGGUGGAUACUGUCGGGCUUGAGUACGGAAGAGGCGAGUGGAAUUCCUGGUGUAGCGGUGAAAUGCGCAGAUAUCAGGAGGAACACCAAUUGCGAAGGCAGCUCGCUGUGACGUUACUGACGCUGAGACGCGAAAGCGUGGGGAGCAAACAGG
rnacentral:rRNA from 1 species